rnacentral:rRNA from 1 species
CGAGCCUUCGGGCGAGCGGCGAACGGGUGAGUAACACGUGGGCAACCUGCCCCAAGCUCUGGGAUAACCCCGGGAAACCGGGGCUAAUACCGGAUAUGACCUUUGAAGACAUCUUCUUUGGUGGAAAGUUUUUCGGCUUGGGAUGGGCCCGCGGCCUAUCAGCUUGUUGGUGGGGUAACGGCCUACCAAGGCGACGACGGGUAGCCGGCCUGAGAGGGCGACCGGCCACACUGGGACUGAGACACGGCCCAG